rnacentral:misc_RNA from 1 species
ACAACGUAGAUCGACGAAAAAAUACUCAAGUAACUACGCGUUAUCAAAGAUUACUCAAAAAGUAGUUAUCAGAUCUCGAUAAAAUUUAAAUGUGACCACAUGAUAAAUAUCAGCAUUUGAUUAAAUUAAAAAUUAUCAAAAUCGGUGCACCCAGUAAAAAGUUAUGCGGUAUAAUACAACGUAGGUCGACGAAAAAAGCGUCAAGUAAA